CAAGGAUAAACAAAUCAACUAUUAUUCUUUUAUAGUGCAGAUUAAAACACAGCUAUAUUUCUGUCGGCUUUAAUAAGUAUCAAUGCGUUCAAUGAUCAGCUUUUCAAAAAAGCUUGCUGUCUUUUAGCCAAAUUUUAAAUAUGCAACCCAAAGCAACUCUUCAAGAGCAGUAAUAAUUAUAGAAUGUUUUCAUUAUGCAUAACUCCACGGUUUUUUUUUUUUUUUUUUUUUGUACGUUUCACCAAAUCCAGAAAUCUCAAGUUUAUAGCUAGCACAGCAAGCGUUUAUGGUAACGCGAGAAAAUUCGGGAUGAGUUAAAAGCUGGACUUGAAAGUCAAGGCAUUUUGCAAAAGAAAGUAAAACGCCUGAAGCCUGAGGAAGAUGCCAAAUGGUGGUGUCAGGCUGGUCUUGACAAAGAUGGGUUCAAAGUAAAAUAUAUAUCUGACUAUAAA